rnacentral:rRNA from 1 species
GUUAUAUGGUCAAGUGAAUAAGCGUGCACGGUGGAUGCCUUGGCAGUCAGAGGCGAUGAAGGACGUUGUAGCCUGCGAAAAGGUACGGGGAGCUGGCAAACGAGCUUUGAUCCGUACAUGUCCGAAUGGGGAAACCCACCUGACACUUUAAUGGUUUUAACUGCGCGAAGCGCAGGUCAAAGCCCUCUUGCGCAAACGCGAGGAGGUGGAGAGAGGUAGAGUCAUUAAAGUGUCAGGUAUCUCUUAGCUGAAUACAUAGGCUUUGAGAGGCGAACCCGGGGAACUGAAACAUCUAAGUACCCGGAGGAAAAGAAAUCAACCGAGAUUCCCUAAGUAGCGGCGAGCGAACGGGGAGCAGCCCUUAAGCUGCGUUAUGGUUAAAAGAACGCUCUGGAAAGUGCGGCCGUAGAGGGUGAAAGCCCCGUAUUUGAAAACCUAAACGUAGUGAAAACGAGUAAGGCGGGACACGUGAUAUCCUGUCUGAAGAUGGGGGGACCAUCCUCCAAGGCUAAAUACUCCUGACUGACCGAUAGUGAACCAGUACCGUGAGGGAAAGGCGAAAAGAACCCCUGUGAGGGGAGUGAAAUAGACCCUGAAACCGUGUACGUACAAGCAGUGGGAGCCGUUUUAAUACGGUGACUGCGUACCUUUUGUAUAAUGGGUCAGCGACUUACUUUCAGUGGCAAGCUUAACCGAUUAGGGGAGGCGUAGGGAAACCGAGUCUUAAUAGGGCGUCAAGUCGCUGGGAGUAGACCCGAAACCGGGCGAUCUAUCCAUGGGCAGGUUGAAGGUUGAGUAACAUCAACUGGAGGACCGAACCGACUACCGUUGAAAAGUUAGCGGAUGACCUGUGGAUCGGAGUGAAAGGCUAAUCAAGCCCGGAGAUAGCUGGUUCUCCUCGAAAGCUAUUUAGGUAGCGCCUCAUGUCUCACUCUGGGGGGUAGAGCACUGUUUCGGCUAGGGGGUCAUCCCGACUUACCAACCCGAUGCAAACUCCGAAUACCCAGAAGUGCAAUCAUGGGAGACACACGGCGGGUGCUAACGUCCGUCGUGAAAAGGGAAACAACCCAGACCGCCAGCUAAGGUCCCAAAAUCUAAGUUAAGUGGGAAACGAUGUGGGAAGGCUCAGACAGCUAGGAGGUUGGCUUAGAAGCAGCCACCCUUUAAAGAAAGCGUAAUAGCUCACUAGUCGAGUCGGCCUGCGCGGAAGAUUUAACGGGGCUCAAACUUAGUACCGAAGCUGCGGAUGCGUGCACUUCACUUAAGUACACUAAAGCGAUUGUCGGGCGCGAAGCGCACGACCAAGCGCGCCCCGAACGUUGAGUCGGGUGAGGUGGUGGAAUAUAAGUGUAUUUAAGGAAGUGCACGCAUGGUAGAGGAGCGUUGUGUAAGCCGUUGAAGCGAAAGCCGGGAGGCAUCGUGGAGGUAUCACAAGUGCGAAUGCUGACAUAAGUAACGAUAAGACGAGUGAAAAACUCGUCCGCCGGAAGACCAAGGUUUCCUAUCCAAUGUUAAUCAGGGUAGGGUGAGUCGGCCCCUAAGGCGAGGCAGAAAUGCGUAGUCGAUGGGAAACGGGCUAAUAUUCCCGUACCGGCUGUAACUGCGAUGGGGAGACGGAGAAGGCUAGGCCAGCAUGGUGAUGGUUAUCCAUGUUUAAGGGUGUAGGCUGGUGGAGUAGGUAAAUCCGCUCUGCUAAGGCUGAGACUUGAUGACGAGACUCGUAUGAGUUGAAGUGGUUGAUGCCCUGCUUCCAGGAAAAUCCUCUAAGCUUCAGGUUACAGACGACCGUACCCCAAACCGACACAGGUGGUCAGGUUGAGAAUACCAAGGCGCUUGAGAGAACUCGGGUGAAGGAACUAGGCAAAAUGGUGCCGUAACUUCGGGAGAAGGCACGCCGAUGAAGGUGAAGGACUUGCUCCGUAAGCUUUUGUCGGUCGAAGAUACCAGGUGGCUGCGACUGUUUAUUAAAAACACAGCACUCUGCAAACACGAAAGUGGACGUAUAGGGUGUGACGCCUGCCCGGUGCCGGAAGGUUAAUUGAUGGGGUUAUCUUCGGAGAAGCUCUUGAUCGAAGCCCCGGUAAACGGCGGCCGUAACUAUAACGGUCCUAAGGUAGCGAAAUUCCUUGUCGGGUAAGUUCCGACCUGCACGAAUGGCGUAACGAUGGCCACACUGUCUCCACCCGAGACUCAGUGAAAUUGAACUCGCUGUGAAGAUGCAGCGUCCCCGCGGCUAGACGGAAAGACCCCGUGAACCUUUACUAUAGCUUCACAGUGGACUUUGAAUUUGUUUGUGUAGGAUAGGUGGGAGGCUUAGAAGCGUGGACGCUAGUCUGCGUGGAGCCAACCUUGAAAUACCACCCUGACAACUUUGAGGUUCUAACUUAGAUCCGUUAUCCGGAUUGAGGACAUUGUGUGGUGGGUAGUUUGACUGGGGCGGUCUCCUCCCAAAGCGUAACGGAGGAGCACGAAGGUACCCUCAGGCUGGUCGGAAAUCAGCCAAUGAGCGCAAGAGUAGAAGGGUGCUUGACUGCGAGACAGACACGUCGAGCAGGUGCGAAAGCAGGUUCUAGUGAUCCGGUGGUUCUGAAUGGAAGGGCCAUCGCUCAACGGAUAAAAGGUACUCCGGGGAUAACAGGCUGAUACCGCCCAAGAGUUCACAUCGACGGCGGUGUUUGGCACCUCGAUGUCGGCUCAUCACAUCCUGGGGCUGAAGCCGGUCCCAAGGGUAUGGCUGUUCGCCAUUUAAAGUGGUACGCGAGCUGGGUUUAGAACGUCGUGAGACAGUUCGGUCCCUAUCUGCCGUGGGCGUUUGAGAUUUGAGAAGAGUUGCUCCUAGUACGAGAGGACCGGAGUGAACGAACCUCUGGUGUUCCGGUUGUCACGCCAGUGGCAUUGCCGGGUAGCUACGUUCGGACAGGAUAACCGCUGAAAGCAUCUAAGCGGGAAGCCCCCUUCAAGAUGAGAUCUCACUGGGCCCUUGAGGCCCCUAAAGAGUCGUCCGAGACCAGGACGUUGAUAGGCAGGGUGUGUAAGCGUUGUAAGGCGUUGAGCUAACCUGUACUAAUGGCUCGUGAGGCUUGACCAUAUAACGCCCAAGGCGUUUGG